UUUUCCCACAGCUCAGGAGACAGUUCACUUGCGGAAUACGAGGCUUAGAAAUUCAGUCAGUGCGAUGAGAACCUUAUUGCAACCUCGAUAUAAUACAAUAGUUACCCCGUUGGAAAAAAAAGAGACUGCCGGAGCUGACGGACGACCACAAGUGUUACGGUAUACGGGGCUAAGAAAUUCAGUGAGUGCAAGAGACUUUAUUCCACAUCAGUGACAUGAAAUAGUUGCCCCGUUGAAAAAGAGAAAGUAUCGACGAAGGGUACAUAGGAAGGGUUAAAUCACCUCCCGGGUCAUGAACCUACCCCUGUAACGACCUCAAACUCCUACGAACGCCUUGUUAAAUAUGUGUUUCAGGAGGGCAGUUAAUAAGUGGCCGACUCCUGAAAAACACCAAGACAAUUCCGUAAAACCAAUGAAAACGUCUGAUACAUCCCAGCAGUAGUUAUGAUUUGCUGAGAUAUGUUUUUGUACAGUAAAGGAAGUAAAGGGCAAAAUCAAAAUAGAAAGGAAAGAAAACGCGCGAACCGCUGCUCUUAGAAAAUAUAAUGGAGUGGCCAGAAGAAAGGUCAGUUUAGGAAGAGGAGGUGACUUUAUAAUUUAGUGAUAUUACGCUUCACUCUAUUGAUACGAGAUUAUCAUUGAUCGGCUAGUAAAGCAAAACCACACGAGUUAGCAUUGGCUUAACCACUGACCCCUUCUGUUGACGCUUCUCUGUCUGGCCGAGGAUGGCGCAGUCUGUCCCUGGAAUCUCGCCUCGAAGUGACUCAGUGCCGUGCGUGAUGGUGACACCGAGGGACUGAAUAAACAUGACUGAUGGGCGUGACGAGGACGGAGCUGAAGUGAACGCGUACAUAAAAGUUGAUGAAGGCGAUGUCAAUAAGUAAUGUGAAGAAAGAGGUUCGGUUUUGAAAUAAGGAGAGGUUGACAAGGAAUAGAAGAGGAUCGUAGACAAGAUUGACGGUGAGGUUGACAAGGAAUAGAAGAGGAUCGUAGACAAGAUUGACGGUGAGGUUGACAAGGAAUAGAAGAGGAUCGUAGACAAGAUUGACGGUGAGGUUGACAAGGAAUAGAAGAGGAUCGUAGACAAGAUUGACGGUGAGGUUGACAAGGAAUAGAAGAGGAUCGUAGACAAGAUUGACGGUGAGGUUGACAAGGAAUAGAAGAGGAUCGUAGACAAGAUUGACGGUGAGGUUGACAAGGAAUAGAAGAGGAUCGUAGACAAGAUUGACGGUGAGGUUGACAAGGAAUAGAAGAGGAUCGUAGACAAGAUUGACGGUGAGGUUGACAAGGAAUAGAAGAGGAUCGUAGACAAGAUUGACGGUGAGGUUGACAAGGAAUAGAAGAGGAUCGUAGACAAGAUUGACGGUGAGGUUGACAAGGAAUAGAAGAGGAUCGUAGACAAGAUUGACGGUGAGGUUGACAAGGAAUAGAAGAGGAUCGUAGACAAGAUUGACGGUGAGGUUGACAAGGAAUAGAAGAGGAUCGUAGACAAGAUUGACGGUGAGGUUGACAAGGAACAGAAGAGAAUCAGAGACAAGAUUGACACUGAGGUUGGUAAGGAAUUGAAGAGGAUCGGAGACAAAGUUGACAAUGAGGUUGGUAAGGAAUUGAAGAGGAUCGGAGACAAGGUUGACAGUGAGGUUGGUAAGGAAAUGAAGAGGAUAGGAGACAAGGUUGACAGUGAGGUUGGUAAGGAAAUGAAGAGGAUCGGAGACAAGGUUGACAGUGAGGUUGGCAAUAAAUGGAAGAGCAACGGAGAGAAAAACAACAGCAAUAAUAAUAAUAAUAAUAAUAAUAAUAAUAAUAAUAAUAAUAAUAAUAAUAAUGAUAAAAUAAUGGAUACAAAACUGCCGGCGUGAGAUUAGA